GAUGAACGCUGGCGGCGUGCCUAAUACAUGCAAGUCGAGCGAACGGACGAGAAGCUUGCUUCUCUGAUGUUAGCGGCGGACGGGUGAGUAACACGUGGAUAACCUACCUAUAAGACUGGGAUAACUUCGGGAAACCGGAGCUAAUACCGGAUAAUAUUUUGAACCGCAUGGUUCAAAAGUGAAAGACGGUCUUGCUGCCACUUAUAGAUGGAUCCGCGCUGCAUUAGCUAGUUGGUAAGGUAACGGCUUACCAAGGCAACGAUGCAUAGCCGACCUGAGAGGGUGAUCGGCCACACUGGAACUGAGACACGGUCCAGACUCCUACGGGAGGCAGCAGUAGGGAAUCUUCCGCAAUGGGCGAAAGCCUGACGGAGCAACGCCGCGUGAGUGAUGAAGGUCUUCGGAUCGUAAAACUCUGUUAUUAGGGAAGAACAUAUGUGUAAGUAACUGUUCACAUCUUGACGGUACCUAAUCAGAAAGCCACGGCUAACUACGUG
rnacentral:rRNA from 1 species